GUGGGGAAUCUUCCGCAAUGGACGAAAGUCUGACGGAGCAACGCCGCGUGAGUGAUGAAGGUCUUCGGAUUGUAAAGCUCUGUUAAUCGGGACGAAAGAGCCUAGUGUGAAUAAUGCUAGGAAGUGACGGUACCGGAAUAGAAAGCCACGGCUAACUACGUGCCAGCAGCCGCGGUAAUACGUAGGUGGCAAGCGUUGUCCGGAAUUAUUGGGCGUAAAGCGCGCGCAGGCGGAUCUGCCAGUCUGUCUUAAAAGUUCGGGGCUUAACCGCGGGGUGGGAUGGAAACUGCAGAUCUAGAGUAUCGGAGAGGAAAGUGGAAUUCCUAGUGUAGCGGUGAAAUGCGUAGAUAUUAGGAGGAACACCAGUGGCGAAGGCGACUUUCUGGACUGUAACUGACGCUGAGGCUCGAAAGCCAGGGGAGCGAACGGGAUUAGAAACCCCGGUAGUCC
rnacentral:rRNA from 1 species